rnacentral:rRNA from 1 species
UACGUAGGGGGCUAGCGUUGUCCGGAAUCAUUGGGCGUAAAGAGCGUGUAGGCGGUCCGGUAAGUCCGCUGUGAAAGUCGGGGGCUCAACCCUCGAAUGCCGGUGGAUACUGUCGGGCUAGAGUGCGGAAGAGGCGAGUGGAAUUCCUGGUGUAGCGGUGAAAUGCGCAGAUAUCAGGAGGAACACCAAUAGCGAAGGCAGCUCGCUGGGACGUUACUGACACUGAGGCGCGAAAGCGUGGGGAGCGAACAGG